rnacentral:rRNA from 1 species
GGUCAAGCGAAAUCAGGCGCGCGGGGGAUGCCUAGGUGCCUGGGGCCGAAGAAGGGCGUGGCAUGGCUACGAAAAGCCUCGGUGAGCUGCCUAGCAAGCCUAGCCGGGGAUGCCCGAAUGGGGGAACCCGCCCUCUCGUAAGGGAGGGCACCCCGAAAGGGGAGGCCAGUGGGGGAACUGAAACAUCUCAGUACCCUGAGGAAAAUAAAUCAAGCGAGAUUCCCUUAGUAGUGGCGAACGAAAGGGGAAGAGCCCAAACCUUACCGGCUCAGUGGGCUGUCGACCUAAGCCGGUCAGGGGUUGUAAGGUAUGGCGGAGGGGGUGACAGACCCCUCGAGGAGACACAAACCGAUCCCUAGCCGAAGGUCCCUGGAAGGGGCCACCGUAGGGGGUGAAAGUCCUGUAGGCGAAAGGGGGAGGCUCCUGCCAUAUUCUUGAGUACCACGGGACACGGGGAAUCCUGUGGGAAGCUGGGGGGACCACCCUCCAAGGCUAAAUACCCCAGGCAACCGAUAGUGAACCAGUACCGUGAGGGAAAGGUGAAAAGAACCCCGGAAGGGGAGUGAAAAGAUCUGAAACCGCGUGCCUCCCAGCAGUCAGAGUCCUUCCCGCAAGGGAGGGAUGAUGGCGUGCCUAUUGAAGAAUUAGCCGGCGAGUUAAUCUUGGCUGCUCAGGUUAAGCCUAUGGAUAGGCGGAGCCGAAGCGAAAGCGAGUCUGAAUAGGGCGUAGGGGCCGCAAGGCCCCGGGUAGCCGGGAUUAGGCGCGAAACCGGGUGAGCUAUCCUUGGUCAGGGUGAAGCGGGAGUAACAUCCCGUGGAGGCCCGAACCUAUUAGCGUUGCAAAGCUACGGGAUGAACUGAGGAUAGAGGUGAUAUGCCAAUCGAACCCGGAGAUAGCUCGUUCUCCCCGAAAUGCAUUGAGGUGCAGCCUCAGGGAUAAGCUAGGGAGGUAGGGCUCUGGAUGGGCUAGGGGGCAAGCCGCUUACCAAACCCAACCAAACCACUAAUGCCGUAGCUGGAACCCUGGGAGUGAGGCCGUGGGGGAUAAGCUCCAUGGCCGAGAGGGAAACAACCCAGACCCUCGGCUAAGGACCCUAAGUGCAGGCUCAGUGGGAAAGGAUGUCGUGUCGCCCAGACAACCAGGAGGUUGGCUUAGAAGCAGCCAUCCUUGAAAGAGUGCGUAAUAGCUCACUGGUCCAGGGAUGCGGCGCCGAUAACCCAACGGGGCUAAGCCUGCCGCCGAAGCCAGGGGAUGGCCGCAAGGCCAUCGGUAGGGGAGCUUCCCUCGGGCGGUGAAGUCGUACUGUAAAGUGCGGUGGAGCCCGAGGGAGAGAGAAUGCCGGCAUGAGUAGCGCAAGGCGUGUGAGAACCACGCCCACCGGAAGCCUAAGGUUUCCUACGAAAGGUCAGUCCGCGUAGGGUUAGUCGGCCCUAAGCCGAGGGCGAAAGCCGCAGGCGAUGGACAACGGGUUAGUAUUCCCGUACCAUCCUACGACCGUUAUCAACCUAAGGGGUGACACAGGGAGGGGGGUCUGGCGUGCCCAUUGGACAUGGUGCGUCCCCAACUCGAGGCUUGCUGGGGGAGGAAAAUCCCUCCCAGCGCUAAGCGGAGGGACGGGGGAAGCUGAGGGGAGACCCGAGGCGACCAGACCUGGCCUGCACUGUCAAGAAAAGCCUCGAGGUGAGGGCGUAGGGUGACCGUACCGCAAACCGACACUGGUAGGCAGGGGUAAGGGCCCCAAGGUGAGCGAGAGAACCCUCGUUAAGGAACUCGGCAAUCUCACUCCGUAACUUCGGGAUAAGGAGUGCCCUGGGGGGUGUAACAGCCCUCUGGGGCCGCAGAGAACAGGCCCAGGCGACUGUUUAACAAAAACACAGGUCUCUGCCAACUCGCAAGAGGAGGUAUAGGGGCUGACACCUGCCCAGUGCCGGAAGGUUAAGGGGAGAGGUUAUUCUUCUUCGGAAGGAGAAGCUUUGAACCGAAGCCCCGGUGAACGGCGGCCGUAACUAUAACGGUCCUAAGGUAGCGAAACCCCUUGUCGGGUAAGUUCCGACCUGCACGAAUGGUGUAACGAUCUUGGGCGCUGUCUCAACGAGGGACUCGGCGAAAUUGAAGUACCCGUGAAGAUGCGGGUUACCCGCCACAGGACAAAAAGACCCCGUGGAGCUUUACUACAUCUUGGCACUGGAUCGAAGCCGGGGAUGCGUAGGAUAGGUGGGAGGCGGUGAAGCCGGGCUCUCGGGUUCGGUGGAGCCAACGUUGAAAUACCACUCUUCUUCGGUUUUAGUUCUAACCCCCUCACAAAUGGGGGAACCCUGCCAGGUGGGUAGUUUGACUGGGGCGGUCGCCUCCUAAAAGGUAACGGAGGCGUCCAAAGGUCCCCUCAGCACGGGUGGAAAUCGUGCUUAGAGUGCACUGGCAGAAGGGGGCUUGACGGUGAGACCUACAAGUCGAACCGGGACGAAAGUCGGGCAAAGUGAUCCCACGGUACCGCGUGGAAGGGCCGUGGCUUAUCGGAUAAAAGCUACCCCGGGGAUAACAGGCUGAUCUAGCCCAA